rfam:Fistulifera solaris DNA, contig: scaffold00082, strain: JPCC DA0580.
AGCACUGUGGCGCAGAGGAAGCGUGCUGGGCUCAUAACCCAGAGGUCCAAGGAUCGAAACCUUGCAGUGCUA